GUCUCAUUAGCUCAGAGGUUAGAGCACCGCAGGUCUAGUAAACCAGAGGUCAGGAGUUGCAAUCUCUGACGAGGCU